rnacentral:rRNA from 1 species
GGAAUAUUGGACAAUGGGGGAAACCCUGAUCCAGCCAUGCCGCGUGUGUGAAGAAGGCCUUUUGGUUGUAAAGCACUUUAAGCAGUGAAGAAGACUCUUCGGUUAAUACCCGGAGACGAUGACAUUAGCUGCAGAAUAAGCACCGGCUAACUCUGUGCCAGCAGCCGCGGUAAUACAGAGGGUGCAAGCGUUAAUCGGAAUUACUGGGCGUAAAGCGAGCGUAGGUGGCUUGAUAAGUCAGAUGUGAAAUCCCCGGGCUUAACCUGGGAACUGCAUCUGAUACUGUCAGGCUAGAGUAGGUGAGAGGAAGGUAGAAUUCCAGGUGUAGCGGUGAAAUGCGUAGAGAUCUGGAGGAAUACCGAUGGCGAAGGCAGCCUUCUGGCAUCAUACUGACACUGAGGCUCGAAAGCGUGGGUAGCAAACAGGAUUAGAUACCCCUG